ensembl:piRNA 21ur-10550 ncRNA
UUUAUGGAUUGUUCCGCAUGA